GACGAACGCUGGCGGCGUGCUUAACACAUGCAAGUCGAACGGAAAGGCCCUGCUUUUGUGGGGUGCUCGAGUGGCGAACGGGUGAGUAACACGUGAGUAACCUUCCCUUUACUUUGGGAUAACUUCAGGAAACUGGGGCUAAUACCUGAUAGGAGCUCCUGCUGCAUGGUGGGGGUUGGAAAGUUUCGGCGGUUGGGGAUGGACUCGCGGCUUAUCAGCUUGUUGGUGGGGUAGUGGCUUACCAAGGCUUUGACGGGUAGCCGGCCUGAGAGGGUGACCGGCCACAUUGGGACUGAGAUACGGCGCAGACUCCUACGGGAGGCAGCAGUGGGGAAUAUUGCCCAAUGGGCGGAAGCCUGAUGCAGCAACGCCGCGUGCGGGAUGACGGCCUUCGGGUUGUAAACCGCUUUCGCCUGUGACGAAGCGUGAGUGACGGUAAUGGGUAAAGAAGCACCGGCUAACUACGUG
rnacentral:rRNA from 1 species